UACGUAGGGACCAAGCGUUGUUCGGAUUUACUGGGCGUAAAGGGCGCGUAGGCGGGCUGUCAAGUCUGGGGUGAAAUCCCACGGCUCAACCGUGGAACUGCCUCGGAUACUGACGGCCUCGAGGGAGGUAGGGGCGUGCGGAACUGUGGGUGGAGCGGUGAAAUGCGUUGAUAUCCACAGGAACUCCGGUGGCGAAGGCGGCACGCUGGACCUCUUCUGACGCUGAGGCGCGAAAGCCAGGGGAGCAAACGGG
rnacentral:rRNA from 1 species